rnacentral:rRNA from 1 species
UGAGUAACGCGUAUGCAACUUGCCUAUCAGAGGGGGAUAACCCGGCGAAAGUCGGACUAAUACCGCAUGAAGCAGGGAUCCCGCAUGGGAAUAUUUGCUAAAGAUUCAUCGCUGAUAGAUAGGCAUGCGUUCCAUUAGGCAGUUGGCGGGGUAACGGCCCACCAAACCUUCGAUGGAUAGGGGUUCUGAGAGGAAGGUCCCCCACAUUGGAACUGAGACACGGUCCAA